rnacentral:rRNA from 1 species
AUUGAACGCUGGCGGCAGGCCUAACACAUGCAAGUCGAGCGGAUGAAGGGAGCUUGCUCCUGGAUUCAGCGGCGGACGGGUGAGUAAUGCCUAGGAAUCUGCCUGGUAGUGGGGGAUAACGUCCGGAAACGGGCGCUAAUACCGCAUACGUCCUGAGGGAGAAAGUGGGGGAUCUUCGGACCUCACGCUAUCAGAUGAGCCUAGGUCGGAUUAGCUAGUUGGUGGGGUAAAGGCCUACCAAGGCGACGAUCCGUAACUGGUCUGAGAGGAUGAUCAGUCACACUGGAACUGAGACACGGUCCAGACUCCUACGGGAGGCAGCAGUGGGGAAUAUUGGACAAUGGGCGAAAGCCUGAUCCAGCCAUGCCGCGUGUGUGAAGAAGGUCUUCGGAUUGUAAAGCACUUUAAGUUGGGAGGAAGGGCAGUAAGUUAAUACCUUGCUGUUUUGACGUUACCAACACAAUAAGCACCGGCUAACUUCGUG